rnacentral:miRNA from 1 species
GGAUAUAGCUCAGUGGUAGAGCAUAUGCCUAGCAUGUACAAGGCCCUGGGUUUAAUCUCCAGCA